GAAAGCGCAUCCUUGACCGGAAAAAAGUUGAAGGAAUCCUAACGUAUGUCCUGAGAUGCGGCACCUUUCCUGAUUGGGACCAUAUUGAGGAGGCCAAGCUCAAGAAAGCUUUGGUAAACAAAUGUCGGGCCAGAGACGGUUUUAAGUAGGCCCUUGUACCUGUCAAGUUCAUUCUAUGGUAGGAUGUUUCCUUGGUAAACAUGUUAAAUAUUUUGGUCUAGGUUUGCGUAGUAUAUAUUGUAAAAAAUUGCCUUAUGAUGUAGCUUUUAGUACCACGUUAUUCUGUGAUAAUGCAUAUUGAGGUGUGCUGUGCCAAGCAAAUUUGGCACUGAUGCAACAUCACUAACAAGCUAGUGGCUAAUAUCCCUUCAAAGUGCAAAGUUUUUUCCAAAUAAAAAAAAUAAUGCAACUGGUAAUGACGCAGUACGUUGCUGCUUACAUAAUCAGGUAUAUUAGUAGCUUUUGUAACCAAUUUCAGAAUAUUUCAAUGAUCAUUUAUGUACCAAAUGUUAUAUUGUUAUCGCAGGAGGCUGUUCUAUUGUUUACAACAGUGUUUCUUAAUCAUAGGGCUGGGGCCCACUGUUUGGCUGCGAGUACCCCUUGGAAGCCGCCAAUAAAUAUCUGUUUCUUAGCUGUGGUCCGUCCAUAUGGGCAGCAAUGGUACUCGGUUGUCUUACACUUUAGUGUAAGAUGACUAAUUCAGUGUUUAUAUUUCAGUUGGCCCCAGACUCCUCUUGUGGAAAAGUUGGUCGUGCCCCAAGGUAAAAAUGUUAAGUAUCCCUGGUUUUCAAUGUGUGAUUAUUUUUUGUAUGUAGACUAGUUCCACACAGCACAGUUACAAUUUUAUAAAUGUAUUUCAGUUUUUACUUGGAAUAUUUCAAAAAUGGAAAUUUUGUCAUUUACUCACCCUCUUACUGAGAUGAAGUCAAGUGUUUUUUUAACUAAGGUACAUGGUUUGCUCAACAAGGAGUUAAAAAGCUACACCUGACUUUUUCACAAUAGCAAAGUGAGUACUCAAGGUCAAAUUCAUUUAUUUUUGUAUUUGUUUUAUUGUUUGUAUAUUGUUUUCUGUUUUAAGUAUUGUGAAUGUCAAUAUGUACAUUAUGUAUGUACUAAUUAACUACAUUUACAUUUUUGUAUUUAAUCUAUUUUUAUAUUAUAUUUUGUAUUUUUGUGUAGCCAAAUAAAGUGAUACACCUUUCAA